CAGUAGCCACGGUAAUACGGAGGGGGCUAGCGUUGUUCGGAAUUACUGGGCGUAAAGCGCACGUAGGCGGCUUGGUAAGUUAGAGGUGAAAGCCCGGAGCUCAACUCCGGAAUUGCCUUUAAGACUGCCGAGCUAGCAGGUGAGAGAGGUAAGUGGAAUUCCGAGUGUAGAGGUGAAAUUCGUAGAUAUUCGGAAGAACACCAGUGGCGAAGGCGGCUUACUGGCUCAUACUGGACGCUGAGGUGCGAAAGCGUGGGGAGCAAACAGGAUUAGAUACCCGUGUAGUCCCUGUCUCUUAUAA
rnacentral:rRNA from 1 species